rnacentral:rRNA from 1 species
CCUACGGGUGGCAGCAGUGGGGAAUAUUGGACAAUGGGGGAAACCCUGAUCCAGCGACGUCGCGUGAGUGAAGAAGUAUUUCGGUACGUAAAGCUCUAUCAGCAGGAAAGAAAAUGACGGUACCUGACUAAGAAGCCCCGUCUAACUACGUGCCAGCAGCCGCGGUAAUACGUAGGGGGCAAGCGUUAUCCGGAUGUACUGGGUGUAAAGGGAGCGUAGACGGCAGCGCAAGUCUGGAGUGAAAUGCCGGGGCCGAACCGCGGAACUGCACUGGAAACUGUGAAGCUGGAGUGCGGGAGAGGUAGGCGGAAUUCGUGGUGUAGCGGUGAAAUGCGUAGAUAUCAGGAGGAACACCGGCGGCGAAGGCAGCUUACUGGAGUGUAACUGACGUUGAGGCUCGAAGGCGUGGGGAGCGAACAGGAUUAGAUACCCGAGUAGUC